ensembl:lncRNA
UGUAAUUCGAUGUGGUGUAGUGGGGUGUAAUGUGAUGUGGUGUAGUGGGGUGUAAUGUGAUGUGGUGUGGUGUUAUGUGGUGUGGUGUGGUGUGGUGUAGUGUGGUGUAAUGUCAUGUAGUGUAGUGUGGUGUAGUGUGGUGUAGUGUGGUGUAAUGUGAUGUAGUGUAGUGUGGUGUGGUGUGGUGUGGUGUAAUGUAGUGUGAUGUGGUGUAGUGUAGUGUAGUGUGAUGUGGUGUAGUGUGGUGUAGUGUAGUGUAGUGUGGUGUAAUGUGAUGUGGUGUGGUGUAGUGUAAUGUGGUGUAAUGUGGUGUGGUGUGGUGUAGUGUGGUGUAUUGGGGUGUGAUGUGGUGUAGUGUGAUGUGGUGUGGUGUAGUGUGGUGUAGUGUGGUGUAAUGUGGUGUAAUGUGAUGUGGUGUAGUGGGGUGUGGUGUAAUGUGGUGUGGUGUGGUGUGGUGUGGUGUGGUGUGGUGUGAUGUGGUGUGGUGUAGUGUGGUGUGGUGUGGUGUGGUGUGGUGUAGUGUGGUGUGGUGUAGUGGGGGGUAGUGUGGUGUAGUGGGGUGUGGUGUGGUGUAGUGGGGUGUGGUGUGGUGUAGUGUGGUGUAGUGUGGUGUAGUGCAGUGUGGUGUAGUGUGGUGUAGUGUGGUGUGGUGUAGUGGGGUGUGGUGUGGUGUAGUGUGGUGUGGUGUGGUGUAGUGGGGUGUAGUGUAGUGUAGUGUAGUGUGGUGUGGUGUAGUGUGGUGUGGUGUGGUGUAGUGUGGUGUGGUGUAGUGGGGUGUGGUGUGGUGUGGUGUGGUGUGGUGUAGUGGGGUGUGGUGUAGUGUGGUAUAGUGUGGUGUAGUGCAGUGUGGUGUAGUGUGAUGUAGUGUGUUGUGGUGUAAUGUCGGGUAGGGUAGUGUAGUGUAGUGUGGUUUGGUGUAGUGUGGUGUAAUGUAGGGUAGGUAGUGUAGUGAUGUGGUGUAAUGUAGGGAAGGGUAGUGUAGUGUAGUGUGGUUUGAUGUAGUGUGGUGUAAUGUAGGGUAGGUAGUGUAGUGAUGUGGUGUAAUGUUGGGUAGGGUACUGCAAACCCUCACAUAACCCCAUGCUACAAACAGAUUCAGAAUCCCGACCCCCGUGUGGAGCCCCAGACAGGGUGGUCCCAUCGGACAGGCAGGCAGGCUGUGGUGUGUGGGGCUUGCAGGUGGUGCUGGUUUAGUGGGCCCCCCAGUCGGCUGGCUUUGGCUGUCUCAGCACGUUGCCGCAGUCAGCAUUGUUGCAUAUUUAAUGUCCUGAUGAGCGCUUCCACCUGCUGACACAGUCCAAAGUGACAGAACAACCCCCCCCUCGAACCUCCAUGCCCAGUAUACCGUCAUCAAACCAGCCCUGCCUCACCUCACCUCCGCACAAUAACUACUACUACCGUCGCCUCACCUCGACCCAUUCACUACUCUCCCUCUCUCUCCCUCUCUCUCUCUCUCUCCCUCUCUCUCCCUCUCUUUCUCUCUCCCUCUCUUUCUCUCUCUUUCUCUCUCCCUCUCUCUCGGUCUCUCUCUCUCUCUCUCUCUCUCUCUCUCUCUCUCUCCCUCUCUCUCGGUCUCUCUCUCUCUCCCUCUCUCUCCCUCUCUCUCUCUCUCUCUCUCUCUCUCUCUCUCUCUCUCUCUCUCCCUCUCUCUCGGUCU